rnacentral:rRNA from 1 species
CCUACGGGUGGCAGCAGUGAGGAAUAUUGGUCAAUGGACGAGAGUCUGAACCAGCCAAGUAGCGUGAAGGAUGACUGCCCUAUGGGUUGUAAACUUCUUUUAUAAAGGAAUAAAACGAGGCACGUGUGCCCUUUUGCAUGUACUUUAUGAAUAAGGAUCGGCUAACUCCGUGCCAGCAGCCGCGGUAAUACGGAGGAUCCGAGCGUUAUCCGGAUUUAUUGGGUUUAAAGGGAGCGUAGAUGGGUUGUUAAGUCAGUGGUGAAAGUUUGCGGCUCAACCGUAAAAUUGCAAUUGAUACUGGCAGUCUUGAGUACAGUUGAGGUAGGCGGAAUUCGUGGUGUAGCGGUGAAAUGCUUAGAUAUCACGAAGAACUCCGAUUGCGAAGGCAGCUUACUAAACUGCCACUGACAUUGAUGCUCGAAAGUGUGGGUAUCAAACAGGAUUAGAUACCCUAGUAGUC